CAGCACAUAAUAUAGCUCUUAAUGGACUCGUUCGCUAUACUUACUUUGUAUUUACACUUAUGACAGUGAUUGAAUUGCUUUUGAGGUGUUUUCCGACGGGCUUUUACUGCAUUGAGUGUAUAAAACAGAGGUUGGUCCCCGGAUGGCUGAAUAGAGUAGAACAAUCCAGUAAGGCAGAGAGAGUGGACAACCCAAACACGGUCUGUUAGCAGACAACUAUCAAACAACGGCGGCCUGACAGCCAUUUAAACCAACAAAAUCAUCCCCACCGGUAAACAAUGUGACCAAGUGAGAAGGACACCGUGGUGAGGACUGUCAGAAACACAUGACAACCAACUUUGGUUGUUGUGAGAGACGCACCAUGGCAUCUCAGCCGAGUGUACACAACGAAGAAAGGAACCUUCUUCGCCUCCGAGCAUGGGAACAGAGGAACCAAGAAACAAGCCAAGCCAAAGAACUCAACCCGGAGAAUGUGCCACUCUUUGGGGAACCGUUCAAGACAAACAAAGGGGAUGAACUUUCCAAUCGAAUCCAGAGGAUGCUGGGCAGUUAUGAAAAUGUGAAUAAUCCCUAUCCCUUUGCCAUUGAGUCUUUACCCAUUCCUAAUUAUGUAACCUUCUCGCAGUCAGAUCAGGGUCAGGCAAACACAGAUAAACCAACCAAACCUCCAUUCCAUAACCAGGCCCAUUUCAUGUCCACUCAAAGUCAGAAAGCCCCCUCUAGUAACGGUUACUGCUCCCAGCCCACAAGGACGUCCACCGCCUCUUCUUCUCCUAACCACCAUGGACAUCCAUCCACUUUCUCAAAUGUGUCUUUGAACCACAGUCAGCUCAGCCACUCAGCACAUCAACAAAAGAAGACUGAAACCCACUCAGAUCUCAGGGAGCGUGUCAGCCUUCCACAGGAAAUGAGUUCUCAGUCUCCUGAUGCUAAGCCACUACAUUUCCUGGGUUCCAGUGACCAAGAUACCACCGACAUGGACACUAAGGACACCUAUGACAGACAUCACCUUCAAGGGUCCACAGAUCACCCCUCUGAGUGUGUCAGCAGCGGAGAUGUUUCCACAUUUAGCAUAAAACAGUCCCCCAAAGAUGCAUCUCUGCCUCAAGCCAACAAGGGCAAUGCACUUCCUACCCAGACCUUCCCUUCACUCCUGUCGUCUAAGCAGCCCAGCGUAGUCAUGACCCAAAAGCCAACAGCGUACGUGCGGCCCAUGGAUGGUCAGGACCAGGUGGUCAGUGAGUCACCUGAGCUAAAGCCUUCACCAGAGCCAUAUGUGCCUCUACCGGAGUUAAUCAACAAAUCAAACCUGGGCAAAGCAAAGUUAUUGCCACAAUUUUUGGAGACAAGGACAAAUGAAGCACAGUGUGUUGAGGACAUCUUGAGGGAAAUGACCCACUCAUGGCCCCCUCUCCUGACGGAUAUUGACACACCUCGUACAGGUGAACCCUCCAGUUCCCCGUUCCCAGUCAAGGAAGCUGAGCAUGUCUCUUCAUGUCCAGAACAAAAAAAAUAUGACUCAUCUCUUGCUGAUCCACCCCAGCUCAUCCAGCAGACCUCCUCAUCUUCAUUUGAAGCAGCACAUUCCAGAGGGGUAGAGUCCGCCAGCUCCAGCGACUCAGAGAGUAGCUCAAGGUCAGAGUCGGACAGUGAAAGCAACACAGAGGAGCCACCUGAGCACCCAGUGAGCAAUCCCGUGAAAACCGAGCCUGAUGCUCCAGUUGUGACCCAUGUUGAUUGGCAGUUGGGAAACUGGAUCAGGUCCAGCCAGCAGAACUCCAGCACUGAAUGUCAAAGCGGCGCACAUGCCUCCGAGAGCCCCUCUCGCAAACUGCCACCACCCACUCAAAGCUCCAAGCUCUCCAGUGUAGAGGUGGUUGACCCCAGCAGGGAGUCUAAACCUCAGCUUUCUUCUCACCAGAAAGAGUUCACUGAUAACCUUGGAAAACCUCAGCAGUACAGUGAAGGCCCUCAGGACAAGUAUAACCAGCAAAGUAGCCAAAAAUCCCCUUCUGCUGAUUUGAGCAGCUGUAGCAGGAAACUUUCAUGCAACACGUACUCCUCAAAACCAGGGAAAGCUGGUUGCUUGGAUCGCACUGUAGCAGCGCAUGGAGUGAAGUGUGAGGAAGUUGUAGCCACGCGAGACAAAGACCCGUGUUUCAUAGAUAGACCCAAGGUAAAGACGAAAACGGGACAUAGUAAGAAAAGCAAGAACGGCAGUGACACUAAAAGAGACCGUAAGAGGACUUCUAAACACACGUCACUUGACAAGCGUAAGGCUGGAUCAGAGCCUGACGUCAAGCUGGGUGUGUAUGAUCAUUGUCCAUCAUGUGGUGUACAAUAUCCAAACCCCUGCUCCUGCCCCACCCAAAGUCCUGCUCAGCCCGAACAGCUGUCUUCUGCCCCUUCAGUCAGAGUCAGUUGUAGCAAACCAAAGUCCAAGACUGUCUGUACGGAGGGUACCAAGAUCCCUCACAAAACAACCCACAAACACCCAGAGAAGACUGGGCAUACAGCCAAGAGUUCUCGGGAGCCCCACAGGCCUCCCAGAUCUCUACUGGUGAAGAUUGAUCUAAGUCUGCUCUCAAGAGCCCCCCAGACCUCCGGCAACCACCAGGAGAUACCUGGCAAUAUAAAGAGAUCAGCACUGGUCACAGAGCAAGAUGGAGGAGGCAGCAAUGCUUCAACAGCACAGAAACUCACCAAAACCAGCAAGAAGAGUAUACCUCAAAAUGUUGAGGUAGACAAUAAAACUAUUCCCAGAAAGAAACCAAGGCUGGAUAACAAGAAUACCUCAGCGACUCAAACUUCUAUCAAACUGGAGAGCUCCAACAAUUCAACAGAAGACCAUGAGCGAAAGAAGGCCAAGAAAAAUCCUGUUCCUUUGCAGCAGCCUGUGACACCCAAAGACACAGCGAAAGAGUCAAAGUUACACAAACGUCGUUCUGGGGAGAUGCGGGAGUCCAGUAAAGAGGCCGCCGUAAAGAGCAAAGACUCCUGCAAGCACAAGAAGAGCAGUGGAAAGCACACAGAGCACCCACACUCUGAAAAGAAGCCCCCAAAGAGCAGCCUCUCCGUCCCAUCAUCAUCUUCACAGCCAGCCAGGGAAUCUUUGACCAACAGGCCUUUGCUUAGAUUCGACGAGAGGCAGUAUCCAGUGAAGCAUUACAUAAAGGAGGCCAAAAAACUGAAACACAAAGCAGAUGCAGAGUCAGAUAAGCUCAGUAAAGCUUUUAACUACCUGGAUGCGGCCAUGUACUUUGUUGAGAGUGGCAUUGCCAUGGAAAAAGAUCCACAGAUUUCAAUGUCUUCCCACACCAUGUUUGCAGAGACCGUGGAGCUGCUCAAGUUUGUACUAAAACUUAAGAACUCAGUGGAUCCCUCUGCUCCACCCUCAGAAAGGGACUUUUUAGCUUUAUGUUUGAAGUGCCAGUCUCUCCUGCAGAUGGCCAUGUUUCGUCACAAACACAAAACUGCACUCAAGCAUUCAAAGACCCUCACUGAUCACUUCAAUAACUCUGCUCAGAAAACACACGAUCCUUCUUUCUUAACAUCAAAGGUCACAAACACCCCGUCCCCCAUGCCCAACAUGCCGUCUCCAGUCAUCACAUCCACCAGCUCAGGUCCAGGCUCCAACCACAGCAGCAGCGGGUUGGUUGUGGACCCUGUCGCCAGCACCGUGGUGGUUCCCCAGGCCAUUGAACGGGUGGCAUUCACAUAUGUCAACAUCACUACGUUAUUCUUGAGCGCCCAUGACAUCUGGGAGCAGGCGGAGGAGCUGGCACACAAAGGCAGCGGUAUGCUGACAGAGCUGGACACAGUUAUGGGUCCACUCAGCCUGGCGUCUAGUAUGAGCGCUAUGGUCCGUUAUACGAGACAGGGGGUCUACUGGCUGAGGCUUGGCAGCCAAAAGGUAAAGUGACCAACAAUCCUGCUCCUGCUACUCGAUGUCUGCAAACCCUUCCAGCUGCCUCUCGCUCCUGGCCUGUCCCUCAGACUUUGUACCAGCCGUCUUUUUCUUGACUUCACACGGACGUUAAACUCAUCUCAUGAAAAAGUGUCCUUGUCUUUUCAAACCUGUGGCUUUUUUUUCCCAUCAUCCUCGACUGUUGGUGCUUCAUCUAUGAAUUUCUUCGCAGCAAGUUUACACCUCUUGUCCAAAUAAUUAUUU